rnacentral:lncRNA from 1 species
GCCUGAAGUAUUUUUGUUAGUAAUCACCUGGCAGCAAUAUUUCUCUUUAAACCUGAAAGGUGGCAUGGUAACCCCUUAAUGCCCAUUGUUAACAUUAUUUGAGUAUUUCAAAGGCUUUUCAGACAUCCUUGUGAUAAAUAUGUGGUCUUCCUUGGCAGCAAGAAUGUGGGCUUCCUGAUGACAGGGACUUCAUAGCACAACCCCAAAGCUCGCCCAGGUAGACACAGCUGAACAAACAAGUGAAGUAAUGAAUGAAUGAGCUAGGAAAAUGCAAUGAAAGUUCUUAUCCUGAAGAAGUGACCUGUGAUCCGACUGCAUGGAGACCCUGGCUGGGGCUCCAAAGAGAUGUCCAGUGAUGAUGCCCACAGGCUGCAUGCAGGGAUCCUGGGAAGGAAGUAGGUGUGGAAAACAAGAUAGCAGAAGAAUGAACUGAGCCACUUCAAAUAAAAACACGGGCCUCAGCAAGCAGGCAAGGAUGUGCUGUCCGUGGGGUCAGCACACAGAGAAGCCAACUUUCGAAUGGAACAGCUUUGAUGUCUUGUGCUUGCAGAAGUUAGAAGAGAGCAGGUUCUGCAAGAAAAAGA